rnacentral:lncRNA from 1 species
CCAGACUUCCGAUUCAGGGGGGUCCAAAUGUUUUUAUAAAAUAAAAUUAAUAAUUAAAUUAAAAGAUAAAAAUAAAUUAAAAUAAUCAUUAACACGAUUAUAAUACCAUUUAAAUUUAAAAAAAUACACUUUAAACAUAUUUUCAAGUUCAUACAAAACAAUUUCAAAAAAUUAAAAUGGAUAAAAUUUGGGGUUUUGGCAAAUAAAAUCAUGAACUAUUUCGAAUUAACAAUUUUAACGUAACUUUUAAAAUGUGGCGAAGUAAA